AAUGAACUACCUUUCCCAUAAUGCAACUGGUCAUGAUCAGGAACUUCCGCGAAAUUCAAACCCCCACUGUGUACUGGACGAAGGACACGCGAUCUUUUGUCUUGUGGAGUUUUAUAUAACACAGUAAGUAAGAGACGCAACAUGCAUGACGGGGAUGAUAAAAUAAUCAAUAAGAAGUUUGAAUCUUUAAAUGAAUGCUGAACCCCAAAGAAGCCAAACGAAGAUUAGAUGUUUUCUGUACUAAACCACAAAUCAGCAUUUGCUGGUAAUCAUAACAGUUACAAAGUGACUCAUUCCUUCCAACUAUUUAUAUCUUAGUAAAACAAUGUUUUUGAUAUUCUAGAAAGGCAUGUAUUCAAGUUUUAGCUUAAUAAAGAUGGUUUACUAUGAUCUCUUAUUCUCUUCAGUCCUGGUCAGUGCAGUUUACAAGACUGUGUUGUUAAAAGGCCAGAUUUAUUUGCUUUAUUUUAUGGUGUAACAUAACCAACCCCACUUGAAGAAUAACCACAUGCUUUUGUAAAGAAUUUAAUAUGCAAGAGUCAUGCAUUUUGUAUGUGUUUGUUUUAAUCUUUUAUUUUACAGUAUAAAGUUUAAUUAUAUUUGCAUUUUGUUUGCAGAAGUCAUGUACCACACUUUGUCAACAAUAAAUGUUGUUUCUGCAAUCUGGAUAAAGAAUAAUAUAUUACUGCCUCUUGGGAAAACAGCAGACUGUACUCCAGACAGAGACAAAGACAUGAGGACAUCUAUUGCUUUUAAGUCCUAUACCAGACUAUGUUGUUCCAGCUGUCUGGGUAAAGACUGAUACAUUACUGCCUCUUGGAGAACAGCAAACCAUUCUCCAGACAGAGACAAAGACAUGGACAUCAAAACAGAAAAUUAAGUACUUGAUCUUGGAUUGUUUGGAGUGAACGCUGGAAAAUAAUGAAGCAGGAAAUUGACUAAAACAAUUUUUGUACUUGGCUGUAAGAAGUCCUUUGUGUGCACAGACAUGACUGGAGAUUAAAGUUACUAAAUGUUGCUUUUUUUCUAGCUGGUGACAUAACAUGGUAUUAUUUUCAAAUGUAUUUAUCUAAUACACAUUUGCACAUCUGUAAACAUUCAUUUUAUAUAGGAUGUUUUUUAUAUUUAACCAGUUGUUGUAUAUUGCUUUCUGUUAUUACAUCUGUUUUUUUUUGCCUGUUUAUUGUUUAAAACAAUUAAGUUAAUGUUUCUCUGUUAGCUUUUAUGUUACUUUGGCUAUUUCUUUGCUUUUAUUUGAUCCUUCUACUGUUAUUUGUUUAUUUGGCAGAACAUUUGACAUUUCAUUUAUUUUGCUGUUAUCUGAAAUUAUCCUUGUCACCAUCAAUAAAACUCUAUAUUUGCUUUA